rnacentral:rRNA from 1 species
GACAGAGGAUGCAAGCGUUAUCCGGAAUCACUGGGCGUAAAGCGUCUGUAGGUUGUUUAAAAAGUCUGCAGUUAAAGGUUGAAGCUUCACUUCAAAAAUGCCGUAGAAACUUUUAAACUAGAGGAUGGUAGGGGUAGAGGGAAUUUCCAGUGGAGCGGUGAAAUGUGUAGAUAUUGGAAAGACCACCGAUGGCGAAGGCACUCUACUGGGCCAUGACUGACACUGAGAGACGAAAGCUAGGGGAGCAAAUGGG